UACGGGGGGAGCAAGCGUUGUUCGGAUUUACUGGGCGUAAAGGGCGCGUAGGCGGUCAGCACAAGUCAGUUGUGAAAUCUCCGAGCUUAACUCGGAAAGGUCAACUGAUACUGUGCGACUAGAGUGCAGAAGGGGCAACGUGGAAUUCUUGGUGUAGCGGUGAAAUGCGUAGAUAUCAAGAGGAACACCUGCGGCGAAGGCGGGUUGCUGGGCUGACACUGACGCUGAAGCGCGAAAGCCAGGGGAGCGAACGGG
rnacentral:rRNA from 1 species